rnacentral:tRNA from 1 species
GCUCCCAUGGCGUAGUGGUCACUGCGCUCGCCUUGCACGCGGGAGACCCGGGUUCGAUUCCCGGCGGAGAUA